rnacentral:rRNA from 1 species
UGAUCAUGGCUCAGGAUGAACGCUGGCGGCGUGCUUAACACAUGCAAGUCGAACGAUGANGCCCACUUGUGGGUGGAUUAGUGGCGAACGGGUGAGUAACACGUGAGUAACCUGCCCUUGACUCUGGGAUAAGCCUGGGAAACUGGGUCUAAUACCGGAUAUGACCUUCCAUGGCAUGGUGGUUGGUGGAAAGCUUUUGUGGUUUUGGAUGGACUCGCGGCCUAUCAGCUUGUUGGUGGGGUAAUGGCCUACCAAGGCGACGACGGGUAGCCGGCCUGAGAGGGUGACCGGCCACACUGGGACUGAGACACGGCCCAGACUCCUACGGGAGGCAGCAGUGGGGAAUAUUGCACAAUGGGCGGAAGCCUGAUGCAGCGACGCCGCGUGAGGGAUGACGGCCUUCGGGUUGUAAACCUCUUUCAGUAGGGAAGAAGCGUAAGUGACGGUACCUGCAGAAGAAGCGCCGGCUAACUACGUGCC